AGUGAACGCUGGCGGUAGGCCUAACACAUGCAAGUCGAACGGCGGCACAGUAAGAGCUUGCUCUUACGGGUGGCGAGUGGCGGACGGGUGAGGAAUACAUCGGAAUCUACUUUUUCGUGGGGGAUAACGUAGGGAAACUUACGCUAAUACCGCAUACGACCUACGGGUGAAAGCAGGGGAUCUUCGGACCUUGCGCGAUUGAAUGAGCCGAUGUCGGAUUAGCUAGUUGGCGGGGUAAAGGCCCACCAAGGCGACGAUCCGUAGCUGGUCUGAGAGGAUGAUCAGCCACACUGGAACUGAGACACGGUCCAGACUCCUACGGGAGGCAGCAGUGGGGGAUAUUGGACAAUGGGCGCAAGCCUGAUCCAGCCAUACCGCGUGGGUGAAGAAGGCCUUCGGGUUGUAAAGCCCUUUUGUUGGGAAAGAAAAGCAGCAGGUUAAUACCCCGCUGUUCUGACGGUACCCAAAGAAUAAGCACCGGCUAACUUCGUG
rnacentral:rRNA from 1 species